rnacentral:rRNA from 1 species
CCCUUAGAUGUUCUGGGCAGCACUCGCGCUACAAUGGUCUUCGCAAACGGAUGCAUUCUCGAAGGAGAAUGCCAAUCUUGGAAUCUAUGCCUUGGUCGGGACAGUUGCUUGCAAUUUUUCGACUCGAACCAGGAAUUCCUUGUAAUCGUGAUUCAUCACAUCACGAUGAAUACGUCCCUGCCCUUUGUACACACCGCCCGUCGCUCCUACCGAUCGAAGAGUUAGGUGAAUUGUUUUGAUCGAUAAGAUUUGACUAUGGUCAACUCUCGUUGUGAAAUUCUGUGAAUCUGACUGUUUAGAGGAAGGAAAAGUCGUAACA